rnacentral:rRNA from 1 species
UACGUAGGGGGCAAGCGUUGUCCGGAUUUAUUGGGCGUAAAGAGCGUGUAGGCGGCCAGACAGGUCCGUUGUGAAAACUCGAGGCUCAACCUCGAGACGCCGAUGGAAACCGUCUGGCUAGAGUCCGGAAGAGGAGAGUGGAAUUCCUGGUGUAGCGGUGAAAUGCGCAGAUAUCAAGGAAGAACACCCGUGGCUAAGGCGGCUCUCUAGUACGGUACUGACGCUGAGACGCGAAAGCGUGGGGAGCGAACAGG